UACGAAGGGGGCUAGCGUUGCUCGGAAUGACUGGGCGUAAAGGGCGCGUAGGCGGAUGGCACAGUCAGAUGUGGAAUUCCCGGGCUUAACCUGGGGGCUGCAUUUGAUACGUGUGAUCUAGAGUGAGGAAGAGGGUCGUGGAAUUCCCAGUGUAGAGGUGAAAUUCGUAGAUAUUGGGAAGAACACCGGUGGCGAAGGCGGCGACCUGGUCCUUGACUGACGCUGAGGCGCGAAAGCGUGGGGAGCAAACAGG
rnacentral:rRNA from 1 species